UACGUAGGGUGCAAGCGUUGUCCGGAAUUAUUGGGCGUAAAGAGCGUGUAGGCGGUCCGGUAAGUCGGCUGUGAAAGUCCAGGGCUCAACCCUGGGAUGCCGGUCGAUACUGCCGGACUAGAGUUCGGAAGAGGCGAGUGGAAUUCCCGGUGUAGCGGUGAAAUGCGCAGAUAUCAAGAGGAACACCUGAGGUGAAGACGGGUUGCUGGGCUGACACUGACGCUGAGGCGCGAAAGCCAGGGGAGCAAACGGG
rnacentral:rRNA from 1 species